rnacentral:rRNA from 1 species
UACGAAGGGGGCUAGCGUUGCUCGGAAUCACUGGGCGUAAAGGGUGCGUAGGCGGGUCUUUUAAGUCAAGGGGUGAAAUCCUGGAGCUCAACUCCAGAACUGCCUUUGAUACUGAGGAUCUUGAGUUCGGGAGAGGUGAGUGGAACUGCGAGUGUAGAGGUGAAAUUCGUAGAUAUUCGGAAGAACACCAGUGGCGAAGGCGACUCGCUGGACAGACAUUGACGCUGAGGUGCGAAAGCGUGGGGAGCAAACAGGG